rnacentral:pre_miRNA from 1 species
UUUCUACUCCCUUCGUCCGAAAAUACUUGUCCUCAAAAUGGAUAAAAAGAGAUGUAUCCAAAACUAAAAUACGUCUAGAUACAUUUCCUUUUAUACAUUUUGAUGACAAGUAUUUCCGGACGGAGGGAGUAUUUG